CCAAGCUGAGGAAGACGAGUGAGGGGAAGGAGGAUGACAAGGUGGAGAGCGAUGGGAAAGACCUGCAAGUCAAGGGUGAGGAAGAGGAGGAGAAGAUGGACGACUCCCUGCUGAAAGCCAAGAGGACCAGGAAGAAGAAGCACAAGGAGAGGGUGAAGAUCAGGGAAGAGGUUAUUCCUCUCCGGGUUCUCUCCAAGAAAGACUGGCUGAUCAGGAGUAUAUGACCCUGCAGAAGAGGAGCAUGGGAGUUCUGAAGACUUGCUUGACCAAGUUCCACUACAAGGGGGCAGGAGCAGGAGGGAAAAUGGAGAUGGACACCAGUCUGCAACAGACAUGUAAGUGCCAAAACUGAACAGAAAUAUAAACGCAACAUGUAAAGUGUUGGUCCCAACAUACAUGACGUUUCAUUUUUCUCAAAAAUUGUGCACAAAUGUGUUGACAUCCCUGUUAGUGAGCAAUUGUCCUUUGCCAUGGUAGUGUGGGCAAGCGGUUUGCUAACGUCAAUGUUGUGAACAGAGUGCCCCAUGGUGGCGGUGGGGUUAUGGUAUGGGCAGGCAUAAACUACGGACAAUGAACACAAUACCGUGCCGAGAUCCUGAGGCCCAUUGUCGUGCCAUUCAUCUGCCA
rnacentral:lncRNA from 1 species